UUAUAAUCAGGAAGUGAGUUCUGCUUACAUGAAGUGGGGGACCACCACCUUUUGGUGCAGCUCUCCCAGUCUUCCACAUGGAGGCCUGGUCAUUUUAAGGACUUCCACCCUGUGCCCACCCUCCACCCCUGCCGAACUGCAACUCUUGCUUGGGAAUAAUCCACCUGUUGGGAUCUCUACAGUUGCUGCAAUGAUGCUCAAGCUUACAAACUUCCUAACAGAUCGGCCCAACAGAAGUGUGGCUUUCAGUGAUUGAUCACCCAGGUGGCGAGUCCUCUCCACUGCUCCCAGACAGAUGUGGAAGACUGAUGUUUUCACCUUGACCUAAGAGCCCUGUUCUUGGCAUAUCUUCAUUAUACCCACUCAUG